CCUUGAUAACCCCAAGCAUCUUCGUUCACAGUGAAUUGAGGAUGUUGAUGAGUUUGAUAUCCGUGCCCAUAAGGCACACCACAUGUCGGGACACUUUGCAUUGUGGUCCUUUCGGCAAUCUGUGACAAUUGAGAAGUAAGAUUCGCCAAUUGAGCUUGAAUGCUAGCAAAAUCCAUCUCUUACUUUUCUAGUAUCUGAAAUCAAACAAAGAGAACUAAAUCAAAUAUCAAAAGUAACACAA
rnacentral:lncRNA from 1 species